rnacentral:rRNA from 1 species
GGAAGUAAAAGUCGUAACAAGGUUUCCGUAGGUGAACCUGCGGAAGGAUCAUUAUCGAAUAUAAACUUGGGUAGACUGUUGCUGGCUUCUCUUCGAGGGGCAUGUGCACGUUUAUCCUCUUUAUUUUUCCACCUGUGCACCUUUUGUAGGCUUGGAUUAUCAGUGGUUCUAAUGUGUCUUUCAAAAGGCAUAAGAAUUGUUUUGGGACUGCUGUGUUUAAACGCAUGUUUAUCGGCUUUCCCUUUUAUUUUCCAAGUCUAUGUUUGCUAUAUACACUCCAGAAAUGUAAUAGAAUGCUGUACUUUAGGUCAUUCGUACCUAUAAUAAAAUCAGUACAACUUUCAGCAACGGAUCUCUUGGCUCUCGCAUCGAUGAAGAACGCAGCGAAAUGCGAUAAGUAAUGUGAAUUGCAGAAUUCAGUGAAUCAUCGAAUCUUUGAACGCACCUUGCGCUCCUUGGUAUUCCAAGGAGCAUGCCUGUUUGAGUAUCAUUAAAUUCUCAACUGUACCAAUUUGGUUGCAGAUUGGAUGUGGGAGAUUUUGCAGGCUUUUAAUUUCUCUUUGAGAUUUUUUGGUCAGCUCUCCUGAAAUAUAUUAGCAGUGCCUUUGUUGGUUCAUUAGGUGUGAUAAUUUAUCUACAUCUUCACAUGGUACCUUCAUUUGUAAAGGUCAUAUUGCUUCUAAUUGUCUUUGGACAAAAAAACAUAUAUAAUGUAUGGAAAACUUGAUCUCAAAUCAGGCAGGACUACCCGCUGAACUUAAGCAUAUC